UACGGGGGGGGGCAAGCGUUGUCCGGAAUCAUUGGGCGUAAAGCGCGUGUAGGCGGCUCGAUAAGUCCGCUCUGAAAGCCCGGGGCUCAACCCCGGGAGGCGGGCGGAUACUGUCGAGCUAGAGUCCGGAAGAGGCGAGUGGAAUUCCUGGUGUAGCGGUGAAAUGCGCAGAUAUCAGGAGGAACACCAAUGGCGAAGGCAGCUCGCUGGGACGGUACUGACGCUGAGACGCGAAAGCGUGGGGAGCGAACAGG
rnacentral:rRNA from 1 species